UCACUAGCCCCUCCCUCCCAGAGUAAGCAGUAAAAGCUGGUGAAAGUCAUUCUCAGAAAGGAAGAGCUUCAAAGAAGAGCUUGAGAACAACUGAGCCAUCUGGAAGGGACGCCGAAACCUGCUGAGCUGACAGCAGGCUGUGCAGUGGGCUCCAGGUUCCCAGAUUUUGUGAGCUGUUACCCACGCCGGGGCAGGCUUUGCUGAUGAGGCUGUCUUUGAGUGGUUUCUGCUCCUCACAACAGAGGGAGAGUUUUAUCUUGGUGGAGAUGCAUCGCGGCAUUACUUUGUGCAGAAGGAAGCUGGAUCCAAUUUGCAGUCAACCUUAAAUAACCCAUCUACUCAGACUCCUGGGAUAUGUUUUCCUGCCAUACUAUCUUGAUGAAGGCCAGCAAUGGAGUGCCUAACACUUGGAUCUGCAAGAGCUGCCUUUUAUGGAAGGAACAGUCAGCCCUGAGCAAUCCUUCAAGUUCUGGGUCGCCUCUGCUGGCCGUGCGGUGUCUAAAUCCACGAGCAGCAAACCUUUGCCAACGAAGGGGCAAGAGACAUUUGAAAGUUUCCGUUUUGUCAAAGGUAACCCACACACACAUGCAGGCACGCACGCACACACAUGCAGGCACACAUGCACACUCAUGACUGCUACUUCUGAGCGGAAAAGAUUCAGCUAGCCUAGAUUCCUGUUCACCAACAGCGCUCCCUCAGCCUCUCACACAGUAGGUGUUGAGCACCCACCAUUCCUCUCAGCCCUUGGGUUCCACUGUGCAGGGCAGAGGGAUGUCUGGGUGUGCCCUGAGACGUAAUGCCUGUGAAAGACGGGACCACCGAAAGAUGUUUGUGCAGGGAGCUGGGUACAAACCCCCUUGUCAUCUGCAGCUGACUUGAACACAUGGCUUCCUCUAUCUGUCUGUUGUCUCCUUUGUGCGUGCCUUGAGGACCGAGUAAAUUCAUAUCGUGGGUGUGUUGAAUACCCCCCUGCAAGUACUCACACAUUGUUGCUUAUUACUGACACUGUCCAAACCAAUCCCAGGGAGCUUCCAGGAGUACCUUUGAGGGAUUAUAUUUUCAUGUCUUUCAUUUUGUCCUAAUGGCCUAGUGUUUCUACGUAAAACCCAAGAAAAUAAAGGAUCUCAAUUGUC